AGAGUUUGAUCAUGGCUCAGAAUCAACGCUGGCGGCGUGCCUAACACAUGCAAGUCGCACGAGAAAGGGUAGCAAUACCUGAGUAAAGUGGCGCACGGGUGAGUAACACGUGAAUUAUCUACCUCCGAGUGGGGAAUAACUGAGAGAAAUCUUAGCUAAUACCGCAUAACACUUACGAGUCAAAGCAGCAAUGCGCUUGGAGAGGAGUUCGCGGCCGAUUAGUUAGUUGGCGGGGUAAUGGCCCACCAAGACGAUGAUCGGUAUCCGGCCUGAGAGGGCGCACGGACACACUGGAACUGAAACACGGUCCAGACUCCUACGGGAGGCAGCAGUGGGGAAUUUUGCGCAAUGGGGGAAACCCUGACGCAGCAACGCCGCGUGGAGGAUGAAAUAUCUUGGUAUGUAAACUCCUUUCGAUGGGGAAGAUUAUGACGGUACCCAUAGAAGAAGCCCCGGCUAACUUCGUGCCAGCAGCCGCGGUAAUACGAGGGGGGCAAGCGUUGUUCGGAUUUAUUGGGCGUAAAGGGUGCGUAGGCGGUUUGGCAAGUCUGAUGUGAAAUCUAUGGGCUCAACCCAUAGUCUGCAUCAGAAACUGCCGGGCUUGAGUAUGGGAGAGGUGAGUGGAAUUUCCGGUGUAGCGGUGAAAUGCGUAGAUAUCGGAAGGAACACCUGUGGCGAAAGCGGCUCACUGGACCAUAACUGACGCUGAUGCACGAAAGCUAGGGGAGCAAACAGGAUUAGAUACCCUAGUAGUCC
rnacentral:rRNA from 1 species